GACGAGCGCUGGCGGCGUGCCUAAUACAUGCAAGUUGAGCGCUGAAGGUUGGUACUUGUACCAACUGGAUGAGCAGCGAACGGGUGAGUAACGCGUGGGGAAUCUGCCUUUGAGCGGGGGACAACAUUUGGAAACGAAUGCUAAUACCGCAUAAAAACUUUAAACACAAGUUUUAAGUUUGAAAGAUGCAAUUGCAUCACUCAAAGAUGAUCCCGCGUUGUAUUAGCUAGUUGGUGAGGUAAAGGCUCACCAAGGCGAUGAUACAUAGCCGACCUGAGAGGGUGAUCGGCCACAUUGGGACUGAGACACGGCCCAAACUCCUACGGGAGGCAGCAGUAGGGAAUCUUCGGCAAUGGACGAAAGUCUGACCGAGCAACGCCGCGUGAGUGAAGAAGGGUGUCGGAUCGUAAAACUCUGUUGGUAGAGAAGAACGUUGGUGAGAGUGGAAAGCUCAUCAAGUGACGGUAACUACCCAGAAAGGGACGGCUAACUACGUG
rnacentral:rRNA from 1 species